UUGAUCCUGGCUCAGAUUGAACGCUGGCGGCAGGCUUAACACAUGCAAGUCGAACGAUGAYUUUCUAGCUUGCUWGARAUGAUUAGUGGCGGACGGGUGAGUAACAUUUAGGAAUCUGCCUAGUAGUGGGGGAUAGCUCGGGGAAACUMGAAUUAAUACCGCAUACGACCUACGGGUGAAAGGGGGCGCAAGCUCUUGCUAUUAGAUGAGCCUAAAUCAGAUUAGCUAGUUGGUGGGGUAAAGGCCCACCAAGGCGACGAUCUGUAACUGGUCUGAGAGGAUGAUCAGUCACACCGGAACUGAGACACGGUCCGGACUCCUACGGGAGGCAGCAGUGGGGAAUAUUGGACAAUGGGGGCAACCCUGAUCCAGCCAUGCCGCGKGUGUGAAGAAGGCCUUUUGGUUGUAAAGCACUUUAAGCAGGGAGGAGAGGCUAAUGGUUAAUACC
rnacentral:rRNA from 1 species